rnacentral:rRNA from 1 species
GACGAACGCUGGCGGCGUGCUUAACACAUGCAAGUCGUACGGUAAGGCCCUUUCUGGGGUACACGAGUGGCGCACGGGGGCGUAACACGUGAGUAACCUGCCCACUACUUUUGGAUAACGCUAGGAAACUGGUGCUAAUACUGGGUAUAUGCUCCUGCUUCAGUGUGGGGGUUGGAAAGCUCCGGCGGUUGUGGAUGGGCUCGCGGCCUAUCAGCUUGUUGGUGGGGUAGUGGCCUACCAAGGCGGCGACGGGUAGCCGGCCUGAGAGGGUGACCGGCCACAUUGGGACUGAGAUACGGCCCAGACUCCUACGGGAGGCAGCAGUGGGGAAUAUUGCACAAUGGGCGCAAGCCUGAUGCAGCAACGCCGCGUGCGGGAUGACGGCCUUCGGGUUGUAAACCGCUUUCAGCAGGGACGAAGCUUUUUGUGACGGUACCUGGAGAAGAAGCACCGGCUAACUACGUG